AUGACAGUUGUACAAAGUGUCCUCCUAUUGGCUCUCAUGUCAGCUGCUCGGGGCCAGUCCCUCACCUCCUCUGAGCCAGUGGUCAGCAGACCAGGAGAAUCAGUCACUCUGUCCUGUAAAGUGGAAGGAGUUUCGCUCACUUGGCUGCACUGGAUUCGUCAGAAACCCAGCAAAGGACUGGAAUGGAUUGGACGCAUUGAUGAUGGAACUGGCACAAUAUUUGCCCAAAGCCUCCAAGGCCAGUUUAUCAUCACCAAAGACUCUUCCCAAAACUUGGUGUAUUUAAAGGUGAAGAGUCUGAAACAAGAAGACUCUGCAGUUUAUUAUUGUGCUUGA